rnacentral:lncRNA from 1 species
GAAGGGGUAUCUGGUAUCCUCUGGCGGUUUAUGAAACUGUAUAUCUUAACUGAUCUUUUUCGUGCUUACUGGUCACUUGAUGGUUGUCACUACUUGAAAAGAUUCACGGCUUGUCAUAUUCUCAGUGGAUAUAUCAUGGAAAACAAAUUCAAGAAUACGAUAGUCUGUUACUUUCAUCUUUCAGUCUUGGGACAAAAGAUGAAUUUGUCCUUCAAGAUUGCUUCCAACAUCCCUUGUGGUACACUCUGGUCCAAGUAUGAAUGAGGUGUAAAAUGGUCCUAGUAUGAGUUCAGAUUGUCUUUUUUAUGUCCCCUUACAUUUGAACCUCUGCAUCUCCCAAAUGAAAUGCAAUUAUUGUUAAACAUGUUCCAUGUUUAUUGCUAGUGCAUAUUAUUAGUACAUAAGUAUUCAGAGCACAGGGCAUCUCUUGUGG